GACGAACGCUGGCGGCGUGCUUAACACAUGCAAGUCGAACGGUGAAGCUCCAGCUUGCUGGCGUGGAUCAGUGGCGAACGGGUGAGUAACACGUGAGCAACCUGCCCCUGACUCUGGAAUAAGCGCUGGAAACGGCGUCUAAUACUGGACACGAGAAGGGUCCGCAUGGGCAUCUUCUGGAAAGUUGUUCGGUUGGGGAUGGGCUCGCGGGCUAUCAGCUUGUUGGUGAGGUAAUGACUCACCAAGGCUACGACGGGUAGCCGGCCUGAGAGGGCGACCGGCCACACUGGGACUGAGACACGGCCCAGACUCCUACGGGAGGCAGCAGUGGGGAAUAUUACACAAUGGGCGAAAGCCUGAUGCGGCGACGCCGCGUGAGGGAUGACGGCCUUCGGGUUAUAAACCUCUUUCAGCAGAGAAGAAGCGAAAGUGACGGUACCUGCAGAAGAAGCACCGGCUAACUACGUG
rnacentral:rRNA from 1 species